CGGGCCGGGCCGCGGCGCUCUGGAAGCGGAGGGGGCCGGGGGAAAAUGGCGGCCAGCUCCAAAGCGGAGCGGGGCAGCCCGGGCGGAAAGCGGGGCCCGGCGGGCAGGUGCUUGGCCAGCGUGGCCGCUGCGAGCAUGUCAUGAGGUAGCUGGACCGCGUCAAGAACGUCAACUGCCAGUGUUUCUCCACAGUCACCCUUUCUUCUGCCACGACAGUACAGGACAGAUGGAAAGGAUCCGGAGUGCUCUGCAUUCCCACGAAUCAUCAGCAGCCUCAUAACUAGUGAUGGCGAGUCCUGAUGUGGUUUUGGUGAGUUGUUGCUUGCAUCAUGUCCUUUGUCUGUAACCUGCGGACAUUUUGACGUCGGUUGUAAAUUGAUUUUCUGAAAUGGAAAUGUUUCUUGC